GACAAACGCUGGCGGCAUGCCUAACACAUGCAAGUCGAACGGACAGAACAGGGAAGCUUUUCGGAGUGGAACUGGAAAGUUAGUGGCGGAUGGGUGAGUAACGCGUGGACAACCUACCUUGUAAAGGGGAAUAACCUCGAGAAAUCGAAGCUAAUACCCCAUAAUAACCUUGCUUCGCAUGAAGUAAGGAGGAAAGGCGGCCUUAGCGCUGUCGAUACAAGAUGGGUCUGCGUCUGAUUAGCUAGUUGGUGAGGUAAAGGCUCACCAAGGCGACGAUCAGUAGCCGGCCUGAGAGGGUGAACGGCCACAUUGGGACUGAGACACGGCCCAAACUCCUACGGGAGGCAGCAGUGGGGAAUCUUCCGCAAUGGGCGAAAGCCUGACGGAGCAAUGCCGCGUGAGUGAAGAAGGCCUUCGGGUUGUAAAACUCUGUCCUUAUCGAAGAGAGAGUGUUGUAGUAACUGACAAUACUAGGACGGUAGAUGAGGAGGAAGCCCCGGCUAACUAUGUG
rnacentral:rRNA from 1 species